rnacentral:rRNA from 1 species
UACGUAGGGUGCAAGUGUUAAUCGGAAUUACUGGGCGUAAAGCGAGCGCAGGCGGUCGUGCAAGACAGAUGUGAAAUCCCCGGGCUCAACCUGGGAACUGCAUUUGUGACUGCACGGCUGGAGUACGGCAGAGGGGGAUGGAAUUCCGCGCGUAGCAGUGAAGUGCGUAGAUAUGCGGUGGAACACCGAUGGCGAAGGCAAUCCCCUGGGCCUGUACUGACGCUCAUGCACGAAAGCGUGGGGAGCAAACAGG